GUUUACCAAAAACAUGGCUUCAUGAAAUUAAGUAAAGCUUAUUUAAAGAAUAAGUUCUAUAUGCACAUAUAUGAAGUCGGGCCUGCCCAGUGAGUUUAUUUAACGGCCGCGGUACCCUGACCGUGCAAAGGUAGCACAAUACUUGCCUUAUAAUUGAAGGCUGGAAUGAAUGGUUUGACAAGAGUGUAGCUGUCUCAUUAUAAUUUAAUAGAAUUUUAUCUUGGGAUGAAAAAGUCCUAGUUAGAUUAAAAGACAAGAAGACCCUAUCGAGCUUGAAGUUAAUUAAUAAAAAAUUAAUACCUAAAAAGUUAGUUAUUAAAAAUUUUGGUUGGGGCAACUAAGGAGUAAAAAAAGCCUCUUUUAAAAAACUAUACAAGCUAGUAAAGAUCCAAUAAUUUUGAUCAAAGAAAAUAGUUACCGUAGGGAUAACAGCAUUAUCUUUUUUGAGAGCCCAUAUCGAAAAAAAGGUUUGUGACCUCGAUGUUGGACCAGAAUAUCCUAAAGAUGCAGAAGUCUUUAAGGGUUGGUCUGUUCGACCAUUAAAAUUCUACGUGAUCUGAGUUCAGACCGG
rnacentral:rRNA from 1 species